rnacentral:rRNA from 1 species
UACGUAGGCAGCGAGCGUUGUUCGGAGUUACUGGGCGUAAAGGGUGUGUAGGCGGUUGUUUAAGUUUGGUGUGAAAUCUCCCGGCUCAACUGGGAGGGUGCGCCGAAUACUGAAUGACUAGAGUGCGGGAGAGGAAAGUGGAAUUCCUGGUGUAGCGGUGAAAUGCGUAGAUAUCGUAAGGAAGACCAGUGGCGAAGGCGGGUCUCUGGACAGUUCCUGACGCUGAGGCACGAAGGCCAGGGGAGCAAACGGG